rnacentral:antisense_RNA from 1 species
UGUGGGAGCUGGCUUGCCUGCGAUGACGGUGUGUCAGUUGGCAGAGAGAGUGCCUGACAGCCCGCCAUCGCAGGCAAGCCAGCUCCCACA